CUUAACCAUCACUCACACCCACUUUGCAUGGACACCUAUAUCAAAUUGAUUGUUGUUUACAAGGCCUUGGAACUAGACUAGUUCCUCAUGGCCCUUACUUCACUGUUAUGUAUCACACAAUGACAAGACAGAUUGUCAUCAGUUAACCAAUAAGAAGGACAAAAAAUAAAGAAAAGAAAAGGAAACUGAUAUGGAUAAACUUAAACAAAAUUGCCAAAGACAACACAAGUUAAAAAUGAUGUAGGUUGGGCAGGAAUAAUCUAUGCAAUGAUCCAACGCUGGAAGCUCCCCGUUUGAGGAAAUGGUCUCACGAGAAACAUGGAGCCUCCAGGGUCCAGUGGCUGGAGUCAGCCUCUUCGUCCCUGGAGCUAACUUACGCUUGCUGAGAAGCUCUCUGCUAAGCUACUGAAGAGAACCUCCAAGAGCAUUGGGGAAUCUCAUCAGAGGACAAUUGGAAAAUUUUAAAAUG
rnacentral:lncRNA from 1 species